rnacentral:rRNA from 1 species
GGUUAAGCGACUAAGCGUACACGGUGGAUGCCCUGGCAGUCAGAGGCGAUGAAGGACGUGCUAAUCUGCGAUAAGCGUCGGUAAGGUGAUAUGAACCGUUAUAACCGGCGAUUUCCGAAUGGGGAAACCCAGUGUGAUUCGUCACACUAUCAUUAACUGAAUCCAUAGGUUAAUGAGGCGAACCGGGGGAACUGAAACAUCUAAGUACCCCGAGGAAAAGAAAUCAACCGAGAUUCCCCCAGUAGCGGCGAGCGAACGGGGAGCAGCCCAGAGCCUGAAUCAGUAUGUGUGUUAGUGGAAGCGUCUGGAAAGGCGUGCGAUACAGGGUGACAGCCCCGUACACAAAAAUGCACAUGCUGUGAGCUCGAUGAGUAGGGCGGGACACGUGGUAUCCUGUCUGAAUAUGGGGGGACCAUCCUCCAAGGCUAAAUACUCCUGACUGACCGAUAGUGAACCAGUACCGUGAGGGAAAGGCGAAAAGAACCCCGGCGAGGGGAGUGAAAAAGAACCUGAAACCGUGUACGUACAAGCAGUGGGAGCCUCUUUAUGGGGUGACUGCGUACCUUUUGUAUAAUGGGUCAGCGACUUAUAUUCUGUAGCAAGGUUAACCGAAUAGGGGAGCCGAAGGGAAACCGAGUCUUAACUGGGCGUUAAGUUGCAGGGUAUAGACCCGAAACCCGGUGAUCUAGCCAUGGGCAGGUUGAAGGUUGGGUAACACUAACUGGAGGACCGAACCGACUAAUGUUGAAAAAUUAGCGGAUGACUUGUGGCUGGGGGUGAAAGGCCAAUCAAACCGGGAGAUAGCUGGUUCUCCCCGAAAGCUAUUUAGGUAGCGCCUCGUGAAUUCAUCUCCGGGGGUAGAGCACUGUUUCGGCAAGGGGGUCAUCCCGACUUACCAACCCGAUGCAAACUGCGAAUACCGGAGAAUGUUAUCACGGGAGACACACGGCGGGUGCUAACGUCCGUCGUGAAGAGGGAAACAACCCAGACCGCCAGCUAAGGUCCCAAAGUCAUGGUUAAGUGGGAAACGAUGUGGGAAGGCCCAGACAGCCAGGAUGUUGGCUUAGAAGCAGCCAUCAUUUAAAGAAAGCGUAAUAGCUCACUGGUCGAGUCGGCCUGCGCGGAAGAUGUAACGGGGCUAAACCAUGCACCGAAGCUGCGGCAGCGACACUAUGUGUUGUUGGGUAGGGGAGCGUUCUGUAAGCCGUUGAAGGUGUGCUGUGAGGCAUGCUGGAGGUAUCAGAAGUGCGAAUGCUGACAUAAGUAACGAUAAAGCGGGUGAAAAGCCCGCUCGCCGGAAGACCAAGGGUUCCUGUCCAACGUUAAUCGGGGCAGGGUGAGUCGACCCCUAAGGCGAGGCCGAAAGGCGUAGUCGAUGGGAAACAGGUUAAUAUUCCUGUACUUGGUGUUACUGCGAAGGGGGGACGGAGAAGGCUAUGUUGGCCGGGCGACGGUUGUCCCGGUUUAAGCGUGUAGGCUGAUUUUCCAGGCAAAUCCGGAGAAUCAAGGCUGAGGCGUGAUGACGAGGCACUACGGUGCUGAAGCAACAAAUGCCCUGCUUCCAGGAAAAGCCUCUAAGCAUCAGGUAACAUCAAAUCGUACCCCAAACCGACACAGGUGGUCAGGUAGAGAAUACCAAGGCGCUUGAGAGAACUCGGGUGAAGGAACUAGGCAAAAUGGUGCCGUAACUUCGGGAGAAGGCACGCUGAUAUGUAGGUGAAGCGACUUGCUCGUGGAGCUGAAAUCAGUCGAAGAUACCAGCUGGCUGCAACUGUUUAUUAAAAACACAGCACUGUGCAAACACGAAAGUGGACGUAUACGGUGUGACGCCUGCCCGGUGCCGGAAGGUUAAUUGAUGGGGUCAGCCGCAAGGCGAAGCUCUUGAUCGAAGCCCCGGUAAACGGCGGCCGUAACUAUAACGGUCCUAAGGUAGCGAAAUUCCUUGUCGGGUAAGUUCCGACCUGCACGAAUGGCGUAAUGAUGGCCAGGCUGUCUCCACCCGAGACUCAGUGAAAUUGAACUCGCUGUGAAGAUGCAGUGUACCCGCGGCAAGACGGAAAGACCCCGUGAACCUUUACUAUAGCUUGACACUGAACAUUGAGCCUUGAUGUGUAGGAUAGGUGGGAGGCUUUGAAGUGUGGACGCCAGUCUGCAUGGAGCCGACCUUGAAAUACCACCCUUUAAUGUUUGAUGUUCUAACGUGGACCCGUGAUCCGGGUUGCGGACAGUGUCUGGUGGGUAGUUUGACUGGGGCGGUCUCCUCCUAAAGAGUAACGGAGGAGCACGAAGGUUGGCUAAUCCUGGUCGGACAUCAGGAGGUUAGUGCAAUGGCAUAAGCCAGCUUGACUGCGAGCGUGACGGCGCGAGCAGGUGCGAAAGCAGGUCAUAGUGAUCCGGUGGUUCUGAAUGGAAGGGCCAUCGCUCAACGGAUAAAAGGUACUCCGGGGAUAACAGGCUGAUACCGCCCAAGAGUUCAUAUCGACGGCGGUGUUUGGCACCUCGAUGUCGGCUCAUCACAUCCUGGGGCUGAAGUAGGUCCCAAGGGUAUGGCUGUUCGCCAUUUAAAGUGGUACGCGAGCUGGGUUUAGAACGUCGUGAGACAGUUCGGUCCCUAUCUGCCGUGGGCGCUGGAGAACUGAGGGGGGCUGCUCCUAGUACGAGAGGACCGGAGUGGACGCAUCACUGGUGUUCGGGUUGUCAUGCCAAUGGCACUGCCCGGUAGCUAAAUGCGGAAGAGAUAAGUGCUGAAAGCAUCUAAGCACGAAACUUGCCCCGAGAUGAGUUCUCCCUGAGACUUUAAGUCUCCUGAAGGAACGUUGAAGACGACGACGUUGAUAGGCCGGGUGUGUAAGCGCAGCGAUGCGUUGAGCUAACCGGUACUAAUGAACCGUGAGGCUUAACCUU